GACGAACGCUGGCGGCGUGCUUAACACAUGCAAGUCGAACGGAAAGGCCCUGCUUUUGUGGGGUGCUCGAGUGGCGAACGGGUGAGUAACACGUGAGUAACCUGCCCUUGACUUUGGGAUAACUUCAGGAAACUGGGGCUAAUACCGGAUAGGAGCUCCUGCUGCAUGGUGGGGGUUGGAAAGUUUCGGCGGUUGGGGAUGGACUCGCGGCUUAUCAGCUUGUUGGUGGGGUAGUGGCUUACCAAGGCUUUGUCGGGUAGCCGGCCUGAGAGGGUGACCGGCCACAUUGGGACUGAGGUACGGGCCAGACUCCUACGGGAGGCAACAGUGGGGAAUAUUGCACAAUGGGCGGAAGCCUGAUGCAGCAACGCCGCGUGCGGGAUGACGGCCUUCGGGUUGUAAACCGCUUUCGCCUGUGACGAAGCGUGAGUGACGGUAAUGGGUAAAGAAGCACCGGCUAACUACGUG
rnacentral:rRNA from 1 species